UACGGAGGGUGCAAGCGUUAUCCGGAUUCACUGGGUUUAAAGGGUGCGUAGGUGGGCAGGGAAGUCCGUGGUGAAAUCUCCGAGCUUAACUCGGAAACUGCCGUGGAUACUCUCUGUCUUGAAUCCCGUGGAGAUGAGCGGAAUAUGUCAUGUAGCGGUGAAAUGCUUAGAUAUGACAUAGAACACCCAUUGCGAAGGCAGCUAACUACACGAUCAUUGACACUGCGGCACGAAAGCGUGGGGAGCAAACAGG
rnacentral:rRNA from 1 species